CUGGGUUUGAACUGUACAGGAAAGUCUCAGAGAUGAGAGCCCCUCUUCGGAGGACUGUAUAGAGGUGCUGCAUGGCUGUCGUCAGCUCGUGUCGUGAGAUGUUGGGUUAAGUCCCGCAACGAGCGCAACCCUUAUUCAUAGUUACUAACGCGUCAUGGCGAGAACUCUAUGGAGACUGCCGGUGAUAAACCGGAGGAAGGUGGGGAUGACGUCAAGUCCUCAUGGCCUUUAUGUCCAGGGCUACACACGUGCUACAAUGGACGGUACAGAGAGUCGCGAUGCCGCAAGGUGGAGCUAAUCUCAAAAAGCCGUUCUCAGUUCGGAUUGCAGUCUGCAACUCGACUGCAUGAAGUUGGAAUCGCUAGUAAUCGCGGAUCAGCACGCCGCGGUGAAUACGUUCCCAGGCCUUGUACACAUCGCCCGUCACAUCACGAAAGUCGGUUGCACUAGAAGUCGGUGGGCUAACCCGCAAGGGAGGCAGCCGCCUAAAGUGUGAUCGGUAAUUGGGGUG
rnacentral:rRNA from 1 species